rnacentral:rRNA from 1 species
AGGUCCCGCCUGCCCGGUGACAACUAGUUUAACGGCCGCGGUAUCCUAACCGUGCGAAGGUAGCGCAAUCACUUGUCUUUUAAAUGAAGACCUGUAUGAAUGGUAUUACGAGGGCUUAGCUGUCUCCUUUUUCAAGUCAAUGAAAUUGAUCUCCCCGUGCAGAAGCGGGGAUUAAUACAUAAGACGAGAAGACCCUAUGGAGCUUUAGACCCUAAAACAGCCUCCGUCACUCACCUAAUUUAAAAGAACUAAACUAAGAGAACCUGCUUUACGUCUUCGGUUGGGGCGACCAUGGGGUAAUAAAUAACCCCCACGUGGACUGGGAGCUUCUUACCCAACACCUCUAACUCCUAACACCAAGAACAACAACUCUAACUAACAGAAUUUCUGACCAGAACGAUCCGGCAACGCCGAUCAACGAACCAAGUUACCCUAGGGAUAACAGCGCAAUCCCCUUUUAGAGUCCAUAUCGACAAGGGGGUUUACGACCUCGAUGUUGGAUCAGGACAUCCUAAUGGUGCAGCCGCUAUUAAGGGUUCGUUUGUUCAACGAUUAAAGUCCUACGUGAU